GACCAGACGAUCGCCGGAUCCAGUUUGGAUCGGGAGGAAAGUCCGGGCUCCACAGGGCGCGACGCUGGGUAACGCCCAGCGAAGGCGACUUCGGGCAAGCGCAACAGAAAGCGGACCGCCGAGAGCCAAAAGGCUUUUCGGUAAGGGUGAAACGGUGAGGUAAGAGCUCACCGGCCGGUUAGGCGACUAGCCGGGCCAGGCAAGCCCCGUCGGGAGCAAGGCCAAAUAGAAAGACGCGUGGGGCGGCCCGCCUCAGUCUUUGGGUAGGUCGCUGGAUCGCCGAGGAGACUCGGCGACUAGAGGAAUGAUCGUCGGGCCAAAGAGGGCCAGAACCUCUUUGGUCGCACAGAACCCGGCUUAUAGGUUUGACCGCCUG
rnacentral:RNase_P_RNA from 1 species